rnacentral:misc_RNA from 1 species
GAUGAAGAACGUAGCGAAAUGCGAUAAGUAAUGCGAAUUGCAGAAUUCAGUGAGUUAUCGAAUCUUUGAACGCACAUUGCGCCCUGUGGUAUUCCGCAGGGCAUGCCUGUUCGAGCGUCAUUUCAACCCUCAAGCCUCGCUUGGUGUUGGGCCCUGCCCGCCGCGGCCGGCCCUAAAGAUAGUGGCGGCGCCGCCUGGCCCUCAGCGUAGUACAGCUCUCGCUCCAGGGUCCGGCGGCAGCCUGCCAGAACCCCCCAACUCUGUGGUUGACCUCGGAUCAGGUAGGGAUACCCGCUGAACUUAAGCAUAUCAAUAAGCGGAGGA